UACGACUCUCGGCAACGGAUAUCUCGGCCCUGGCGACGAUGAAGAACGUAGCGAAAUGCGAUACUUAGUGUGAAUUGCAGAAUCCCGUGAAUCAUUGAAUCUUUGAACGCAAGUUGCGCCCGUGGCCUCUGCUAAGGGCACGCCUGCCUGGGCGUCGCAUUCAAUAGAAGCGCCCUCGCCCGCGAUGGAGCGAUGGAGCGGAGUUGGCCGUCCGCACCUUCCGCGGCCCGGUCGGCUAAAAGUUGGGACGGGACACCCGUCGUCUCGCAUCGGUGAGCGGUGGUUCGGCCACCGUGGCGUGUGCCGAUCUCGGGUUGGGCCGGUGCGAGUAACGGGCGUUGUCCCUGUGUGACCACUCUGUCCGUCCCGCGGCGUCGGCCUCUGGGCCGUCGUGCCGUCGGGGCGGUAUUUCGUGACCCC
rnacentral:rRNA from 1 species